rnacentral:misc_RNA from 1 species
AAAAUUUUAAUUUUUAUGUUUUUUAAAUAAUAAACCUUAUUUUUUAUUUUAAAUAAUAAUGAUAAAAAAGAAAGCUAAAACACACUGAAAGGAGAAAGCAUUUCCAAAAAAUCACUGGCGGCAUCUUAUUUCCUCCAAAUGAAAAAACAAUCAAUUUUUUGGGCUGUGCUUUUGAGAGAAUUCUGAUUCCAAAAGGAUUUAGCAAGCAUUUUCAUAAAUAAUCAAAAUAUUUCCAUGAAAAAAUUAAAGAGGAAUUUCAUAAUCAGAAACAUACAAAAUCCAAAUUGUUUUUGGGGAGGGUUUUUUUUUUAUUUUAUUAAUUGGGCAGGUUGGGGAACA